GGUUAAACUGAGGUGUUUCCCGUAAAUAAUUAGGCUAAGUGUUCAUUUUCAUUUUUUGUAUUUCUUACAAAUAAAAUACAAGAUCAAUGCGAAUAGAGUAAAAAAUGAUUUUAAGUUUAAUUUGAUCCGUACUGUAAAGUGACCAUUUGAAUCUCCGCGGUGGUUUAGUUCCAGGCGGUUGGAGGCAGAGUGAGUGCGGAGGGAACUGACCUCUUCAUGGGGGAGAGAGGGGGGACUGAGCCCCUGCGUGACAUUAAUCUGCCCUGUCACCCUGUCUCUGGGAUCUGCACAGGAGCAUACGGCACAGGAAGCAUGUCCUAACUGGAAGGUUUCUGCACACGUUGCCGUCAGGACUGAAUUUACUGAGGCAGAAAGAGUCUCAAGUCUCUCUCGUUCCAGGUUAGUUACUCUCUUUUUCUUUCUCUAGUGUUUUAAAGGCAUAGUUCACCCAAAAUUGAAAAUUCUCUCAUUAAUUACUCACCCUCAUUUUGUUCCAAAACUGUAAGACCUUUGUUCAUCUUCGGAACACAAAUUAAGAUAUUUAUGAUCAUAUCCAAGAGCUUUCUGACUCUCCAUAGACAGCAAUGCAACUGAAACGUUUUAUGGCCCAGAAAGGUAAUAAGGACAUCGUUAAAAUAGUCCAUGUGACAUCAGUGGUUCAACCUUAAUUUUUAUGAAGUUACGAGGAUACAUUUGUAUGCAAAGAAAACAAAAAUAACCACUUUAUUCAACAAUUCUUCUCCCCUGCUUUACAUCUGCCACCAUAAUGUAUUCUCAAAAUAUUCUUGUAACUUUAUCAAAUUAAGGUUAAAUCACUGAUGUCACAUUAAAUAUUUUAAUGUUCUUACUGCAUUUCUGGGCCUUGAACGUGUCAGUUGUGUUGCUGUCUGUGCAGGGUCAGAAAGGAGAUUUCAUGAAAAAAAUCUUAAUAUGUGUUCCAACGAUGAACUAAGGUCUUAUGGGUUUGGAAUGACAUGAGGGUGAGUAAUAAAUGACAGAAUUUAAAUCUUUGGGUGAACUAU
ensembl:lncRNA